rnacentral:rRNA from 1 species
AUUAGAACGCUGGCGGCAUGUCUUUACACAUGCAAGUCGAACGGCAGCGGCGGGGCAACCCUGGCGGCGAGUGGCGAACGGGUGAGUAAUGUAUCGGAACGUAUCCUGUAAGUGGGGGAUAACCAGUCGAAAGAUUGGGUAAUACCGCAUACGCACGAGAGUGGAAAGUAGGGGAUCGCAAGACCUUACGUUAUAGGAGCGGCCGAUAUCUGAUUAGCUAGUUGGUGGGGUAAAGGCCUACCAAGGCGACGAUCAGUAGCUGGUCUGAGAGGACGACCAGCCACACUGGGACUGAGACACGGCCCAGACUCCUACGGGAGGCAGCAGUGGGGAAUUUUGGACAAUGGGCGAAAGCCUGAUCCAGCCAUGCCGCGUGCAGGAAGAAGGCCUUCGGGUUGUAAACUGCUUUAGUCUAGGAAAAAGGGGUGCGAGGUUAAUACCCUCGUGCUUUGAUGGUACUGGAAGAAUAAGCACCGGCUAACUACGUG